UCCGUUUGAUCCUGGCGGAGGCCACUGCUAUCGGAGUUCGAUUAAGCCAUGCGAGUCGAGAGGUGUAAGACCUCGGCAUACUGCUCAGUAACACGUGGACAACCUAACCUGAAGAGGGGGAUAACCCCGGGAAGCUGGGGAUAAUACCCCAUAGAUUAUGGAUGCUGGAAUGCUCUGUAGUUGAAAGGUCCGCCGCUUCAGGAUGGGUCUGCGGCCGAUUAGGUUGUUGUUGGGGUAACGGCCCAACAAGCCUGUAAUCGGUACGGGUUGUGGGAGCAAGGGCCCGGAGAUGGAUUCUGAGACACGAAUCCAGGCCCUACGGGGCGCAGCAGGCGCGAAAACUUUACAAUGCGAGCAAUCGUGAUAAGGGAACUCCGAGUGCCUGUAAAAUCAGGCUGUCCGCCAGUGUAAAUAACUGGUGAAGAAAGGGCCGGGCAAGACCGGUGCCAGCCGCCGCGGUAAUACCGGCGGCUCGAGUGGUGGCCACUAUUACUGGGCUUAAAGCGUUCGUAGCUGGUCUGUUAAGUCUCUGGGGAAAUCUUCCGGCUUAACCGGAAGGCGUCUCAGGGAUACUGGCAGACUAGGGACCGGAAGAGGUGAGAGGUACUCCAGGGGUAGGAGUGAAAUCCUGUAAUCCUUGGGGGACCACCUGUGGCGAAGGCGUCUCACCAGGACGGCUCCGACAGUGAGGAACGAAAGCUGGGGGAGCAAACCGGAUUAGAUACCCGGGUAGUCCCAGCUGUAAACGAUGCACGUUAGGUGUAUCGGUGACCACGAGUCACCGAGGUGCCGAAGAGAAAUCGUGAAACGUGCCGCCUGGGAAGUACGGUCGCAAGGCUGAAACUUAAAGGAAUUGGCGGGGGAGCACCACAACGGGUGGAGCCUGCGGUUUAAUCGGACUCAACGCCGGGAAACUCACCGGACAAGACAGCUGAAUGAUAGUCGGGCUGAAGACUCUACUUGACUAGCUGAGAGGAGGUGCAUGGCCGUCGUCAGUUCGUACUGUGAAGCAUCCUGUUAAGUCAGGCAACGAGCGAGACCCA
rnacentral:rRNA from 1 species